rnacentral:rRNA from 1 species
CGGCAACAGCUCAAAUUUGAAAUCUGGCUUCGGCCCGAGUUGUAAUUUGUAGAGGAAGCUUUUGGUGAGGCACCUUCUGAGUCCCCUGGAACGGGGCGCCAUAGAGGGUGAGAGCCCCGUAUAGUCGGAUGCCGAUCCAAUGUAAAGCUCCUUCGAC